UGGAAAGUUUGAUGCCUGUUCUGUGUUUUCUGACUAUAGCACCUGGUCAUGUGAUACAUGUUAUAUGUGUUUUCAUCUAUUUGUCUACGUGAAAUUGUAACGAUGCAGUUGAUGAUAGAUCACAGGGAGAGCUGGGUGUGGACUGGUCACGGACAUGACAUGGAGGAACUAUCAUGCUUGCUCACCUUAGUUAAUGCUUGGUACACAGCUCAAGGUCCUGAGACAGGUGGGGAUUCAUCGAUUAUGCAACAACAGGAGUAGGGUAAAGAAGUGGUUCUGUGUGUAGAAUGCCUUAUGAUGGAGAGAGCCUGGGGUUUCCUGUGAUUUCAGUUGGCUGCUUGUUGUUGCAAUUUUUAUUUAGGUUGUUACUAUGUCAGAUGGGGCUUGCUCUUCUUCACACGUUUUCAGUGUAUUCAUAUUUUAUACAGCUGUUUACAAAUUCUCUUGAUGGGAAUUCAUUCAAAUAGAUUUUGUCUAUCUGCUUGGAAAGUUUUAGGGUUGUUUUAUGAUUAAGUGUAGACUGCAGUCAACAGAACUGACAGUGCUCUUACAACUAGUUGUUGUUCUAUGUCAUCACUGACAGUGCUCUGGUGUCAAGUUGUCAGUGUUAUUGUCAGUGCACUGUCAUUUACUUGUCAGUGGCUUGGCAACAUUUUGGACAACUGAUGACAGAGCACUGGAACAAUGCCUAUUUUAGGAGAUGUUUCUAUCACAUAAGGGUAUUACCAUCAAUGUACAGGGACGAUGCAGUCCAUAGUUAUGACAAAAUCCACAGUGAUUCAUUCAGUUUUAUCUGUAGUGCUGUUUUAACUCAAGCCUCAUGUUGACAUAGAUUAUUUUCAAUCAUUUUCAUCCAUACCGAUUUGAUGCUUGUAUGAAAAUGUAAAAAGUGUAUACAAUGUCAUUUGCAUGAUUAAUGAUUUUUUAUAUAUAAAUAUAUAU
rnacentral:misc_RNA from 1 species